ACGAACGCUGGCGGCGCGCCUAAUACAUGCAAGUCGAGCGAGAAGACGUAGCAAUACGUUUGUAAAGCGGCGAACGGGUGAGGAAUACAUGGGUAACCUACCCUCGAGUGGGGAAUAACUAGCCGAAGGUUAGCUAAUACCGCGUACGCUCCUUGGACUUCGGUUCAGGGAGGAAAGCGAUACCGUGGGUAUCGCGCUCUUGGAUGGGCUCAUGUCCUAUCAGCUUGUUGGUGAGGAACGGCUCACCAAGGCUUCGACGGUAGCUGGUCUGAGAGGACAAUCAGCCACACUGGCACUGCGACACGGGCCAGACUCCUACGGGAGGCAGCAGUAAGGAAUAUUGCGCAAUGGGCGAAAGCCUGACGCAGCGACGCCGCGUGGGGGAUGAAGGUCUUCGGAUUGUAAA
rnacentral:rRNA from 1 species